UGCAGAACUGCCUUUGAUCCUGGUCCAUGCAUGGGUCAUAAAAAUCCACCCUUCCUUGAGGCAGAGACUUGCAACCAGACCCUGAAGAUGAGUGAAACCUCCUGGCGGCUGUGAUGCUGGUGAUGAUCCUGUUUAAGUGAGCCAUAGACUUCAUUAAAUCCACUGGUGCCACGGACUACUCAGACGGAGGAUACCACUGUGGGAAAAGGAGGGCUCUGGUACUCAGGAAGGCACAGGUAUAGCCAGUGUCCCUGCAUGAUGUCAAUCAUGCAAUCAUUUUUCAGGCAGAUGAGCUCAAGAACUUGAUUCAUGGCUUCAAAUGUGGC
ensembl:lncRNA